ACGUAGGGGGCUAGCGUUGUCCGGAAUCAUUGGGCGUAAAGCGCGCGUAGGCGGCCCGGUGAGUCCGUUGUAAAAGUCAAAGGCUCAACCUUUGAAAGCCGAUGGAUACUGCCGGGCUAGAGUCCGGAAGAGGCGAGUAGAAUUCCUGGUGUAGCGGUGGAAUGCGCAGAUAUCAGGAGGAAUACCCAUAGCGAAGGCAGCUCGCUGGGACGGUACUGACGCUAAGGCGCGAAAGCGUGGGGAGCGAACAGGA
rnacentral:rRNA from 1 species